rnacentral:rRNA from 1 species
AUGACAGAACACAACCUCACAAUUCUGAAUUGGAAUGUCAGAGGUCUAAAUUGCCCGAGCCGUCGCUCCACCGUUCAUGAAACGAUUGCCGCUACUCCUUGCCACAUCGUUUGCUUACAAGAAUCCAAGAUGGAGAACAUUGACUCCUUCACUGCUGCUCACAUUGGAGGUCAGAGGCUCAAAAGUUUUGCCCAACGACCGGUAGAUGGUACCCGUGGUGGCAUCCUUCUGCUGUGGGAUGAGGAUGUGGUCCAGCUAUCCAACGUGCAUUUUGGAAUCUACUACCUCUCGGCCUUGGUUACCCUGCGCUCCUAG